AGCGACGCCUCGUGGAGGAUGAAGUCCUUCGGGGCGUAAGCUCCUGUCAGAUGGGAAUAAGGCGCGGGUGUUAAUUCCACCGUUGCUUGACGGUACCAUCAGAGGAAGCUCCGGCUAACUGCGUGCCAGCAACCGCGGUAAUUCGUGGGGAGCAAGCGUUGUUAGGAUUUUCUGGGCGUAAAGAGCUCGUAGGCGGGUGUGUAAGUCGGGUGUGAAGUCCUCUGGCUCAACCAGAGAAUUGCCCCCGAAACUGCGCAUCUUGAGUUCAGCAGAGGGAAUCGGAAUCAGUUGUGUAGCGGUGCAAUGCGUAGAGAUAACUGAGAACCCCAGUGGCGAAGGCGGAUUCCUGGGCUGACACUGCCGCUGAGGAGCGAAAGCUGGGGGAGCGAUCAGGAUUAGAUACCCUGGUAGUC
rnacentral:rRNA from 1 species